rnacentral:rRNA from 1 species
UACGUAGGUCCCGAGCGUUAUCCGGAUUUAUUGGGCGUAAAGCGAGCGCAGGCGGUUGGAUAAGUCUGAAGUUAAAGGCUGUGGCUCAACCAUAGUAUGCUUUGGAAACUGUUCAACUUGAGUGCAGAAGGGGAGAGUGGAAUUCCAUGUGUAGCGGUGGAAUGCGUAGAUAUAUGGAGGAACACCGGUGGCGAAAGCGGCUCUCUGAUCUGUAACUGACGCUGAGGCUCGAAAGCGUGGGUAGCGAACAGG